UUUUGCUUCACAAAAAGAAAUCAAUGCUGCAAAGCGUUGCUGGGGCAGAAUUCCUUCAUCUUUGAGGCACAAUGUACUUUGCAGUUAUUAUGAGUCCAUCCAUCAAGCUGAUAUCCUGCUUGCUGACUGUUUGCACCACCCUAUUCUUCAUUUUUCAUCUUUCCACUGUCCAUCUUCUACUGCAAACUCCCCUGACCAGCCCAAUCUUAUUGAAACGUGCCCAAUGAACUACAGCUAACAUGGAACUAUCUGAAUCACAGAGAACAUAUGGAU